GGGGGGGGGGGGGGGGGGGGGGGGGGGGGGGGGGGUGGGCGGUGGGGAGGGGUGCUUGCACCAAUUUGACGGGCGGCGAACGGGUGAGUAACGCGUGGGGAGGCUGCCUUUGAGCGGGGGACCACAGUUGGAAACGAGUGCUAAUCGCGCCUGAUAACUUUAACCAUAAGUUGUACGUUUGAAGGAUGCAAUUGCAUCACUCAAAGAUAAUCCCGCGUUGUAUUAGCUAGUUGGGGAGGUAAAGGCUCACCAAGGCGAUGAUACAUAGCCGACCUGAGAAGGUGAUCGGCCACAGUGGGACUGAGACACGGCCCAAACUCCUACGGGAGGCAGCAGUAGGGAAUCUUCGGAAAUGGACGAAAGUCUGACCGAGCAACGCCGCGUGAGUGAAGAAGGUUUUCGGAUCGUAAAACUCUGUUGGUAGAGAAGAACGUUGGUGAGAGUGGAAAGCUCAUCAAGUGACGGUAACUACCCAGAAAGGGACGGCUAACUACGUG
rnacentral:rRNA from 1 species